GGAUCCUUUCACCGCUGGCCUCCUCCCAGACUUACACCCUGUCUGGGACACGGCUUGCUGCUCCUGUGAAGGCUCCUGGCCAACGUGCUCCAGACAGGGCGGCUGCCUCCCCUUCGGCAGGCCUGUGUGCGUGUGUGUGCUCAUGCGCAUUGUGUGCAGGGUGCUGCAGAGGUGGGCGGUGCUGCGUCAGCCCCUCCUCCCAGAACCGUGGCUCCAGGACCCGGAGCCCUACGGGGGGGAGCCAGGCUGCCAGCAGGGACCCGCUGACGUGGUGCCAUGACCAGCGAGCUGCCAGGGGAGAGUGCCCACUGGCUGGCAUUCUGCCAGGCAGCCUCAGCUGGAGUCUCAGAACCUCUCGAGACACCCCAGAGGUCAAAGAGGAGAAGAAACGAGGGGUCUGAACCAGCCGCCUGCGUGCCUUCGACGUGUGUCCCCCCGCGAGGCCAGGGCCCGUCCCCGUAAGCUCUGCGGUUCCCCCGGGGAAGGGAGUGAGUGGAGGGUCCACACUGGUAUUUUCAUUUUCUGACAUUUGUCUGAGCCCUGGAAGCUCCUGAGCCUCUGGAAUGGCCCAGAGGCUCAGGAAGAACUGGGCACCAGCCUGCCCAGAGGCCUCUGUAGACGUGAGCCCCACGGGGAGAGGCAGCCUUGGCUGAGCUCCCUGAGCUCCACGUGGAAGGUGGAUGGCUGCUCGGCUGCCGUUCCCCAGCCCUCCCCAUCCAGUCCUGACUUGGAUUCACAUCUCCUCUGGCAGCAGCUGGCUGCUCUUGCUGCAAGGUGGGAAAGGGAGAUCAGCUUCGCCCACAGCGUGAAGUAGCGGGAAGUGUGCUGGUGCUUCUGUGGCUGGCAGAGGUCUUGGGAGGGAGCUGCCUUGCUGUGUGUUUUGGCCAGAUAGUUUUGCCUCUCUGGGCUCAUCAGUAAACAGAGACAGAGGGCUAGAGCGCUGGCGAAAGUUUUUCUGGUCCUUCCCAGGGAGGGCAGCCCACUCCUGGGGGGAGGAGGGGCACCCCAGAAGGAAACUCAUCUCUAACUUGGAUGCUUAUUCUGAGAUCUGAGUCUGGGUCAAGCAGGGCCCACACCCAGCCCUGCAACCCUGAGAGCAUUUAAAAAGACCCGAGUGACCAGCUGGGGUCCCCUUGAGCCUUGGUUCCCUUGGUCCUUCCUUGAGGAGGGCUGAAGCCCAGCUUUACAAAUGGGGCUGGAAGUUGGGACCGGCCUGAGUUGUCUAGGAGUUAGCGUUUGCUCUAAAUAGAAUCAUACUGUCCCCUAUUUAGUAGAAUGCAAAUAAAAGUGGCAAUACUGUCUUUCUUAUGAAUGACCUGGCACUGCUAUUCAGGUUAUCUAUUCCAUUCUUACAAUAACCCAAAGAGGUGGGAGUGACAUUAUCAUUCUUCUAUAGAGUGACAACACUGAGGCAGAGAGGUUAAGUAACUUACCCAGAGUCACACAGCUGAGACACUUGGCAGAACAGAACUUGAGCCCGGGCCUAUCAGAGCUAGAGUUCAGGAGAUAACCUCUAGGCUACACUGCCUCUUCUCACCGUAAUCGUAGAAGUCCUGGAGGGACGUUUACUGAACAGCUCUGCCUCGGAGUCCUUUGCUGGAGGCUGAGCUGGAAAAAAUGAUGAGAAGACUCGAGAGCCCUCUCACACACGAUUUCAGGUCAUAGUAAGAGGACCUCAGGAGAAUCGAUUCUGUUAUCACAGAAGUAAGAGCAGGUACUGCCCCUGCCCUGCCUUGACUCCAGCCGCCACCGGCCACGUCCAUCAUGCCUGCAGGAGGGAGAUGGCAGCCCUGGGACCUGGCACCAUGGCAUAGAGGAAGGUCUGCAGCUGGGUCAGGAAACUGAGGGUCCUUGGGGGACAGACAAGGACAGGCUGGGCUCCCAGCCACCCCAAUAGGCUCAUUUACGAACCCACAUGACAGAACCCUGUAAGUUGUUAACUCAUGAAAAAGACACUUCUAAGGGGUGACAGCCCGGCUCUGCCGUCCACUGACCUGUGUUCCCGUAGGGAGCUGAUAGCUGGUUCUUUGCUUACAACAAGAACUUUGAUUUUACCCAAGGACUUGAUCUGGGUUGGCUUUGCAGAAGGACCUGCAGCUUCAGUCAGUAAAGGGAUUUGAUCUUCAAAACCAG